rnacentral:lncRNA from 1 species
CCCAGGGACCGCCCCUUUCCCCCGGGAAAAGUAAAACUUCUGUUAAGGAGAACCUUCCAUAUUUCGGAAUAUGGAAUAGAUUAACCUACUCCAACCGACUAAGGCCCGCCUUGAGAAGACUAUAUAAAGGGCACCUAAACCCUAAAGCCAGGGAUCGAAACUUCGAGACUUAGAGAUUAGACCUAGGCGGCUAGAACUAGGGUUCUUACUCAAAAUUGUUGUAGUUCCAGCUCUUUGAUCUAAUAAAAUAUCUCUUUCUACUUUCUUGCUUGCAAAUCAAUACAAAUACUAGCCUUGUCCAUCGUUCUGUGGUACUCACAAAGAUCCUACACAAAAAUCUCCUAACAGU